GGUUGUCAUGCCAAUGGCACUGCCCGGUAGCUAAAUGCGGAAGAGAUAAGUGCUGAAAGCAUCUAAGCACGAAACUUGCCCCGAGAUGAGUUCUCCCUGACUCCUUGAGAGUCCUGAAGGAACGUUGAAGACGACGACGUUGAUAGGCCGGGUGUGUAAGCGCAGCGAUGCGUUGAGCUAACCGGUACUAAUGAACCGUGAGGCUUAACCUUACAACGCCGAAGGUGUUU
rnacentral:rRNA from 1 species